rfam:Myotis lucifugus cont2.19648, whole genome shotgun sequence.
CAUGCAACGGUGGGGUCCCUCGGCCUGGCCUGCACCUUCUCAAAAUCCGGGACCCCUCGGGGUAUGUCGGAGAGUCAGUUUUGCCCAAUCCCGCAGGCCAGGCCGAGGGACCCCACUGGUGCACG